UUCCUCUUCCUCCUCUCGCUUCCACUUCCUACUCGCCGCCGCUGUCCACGCCACUCCUGUUGACUCCGCCGGUGGCUCGGUGCGGCUGCCCGGCGGGCAGCUUGACGCUGCGGCUCCUCCUCCUCCGCGAGUUGCGGCGCAGCGGCGCGGGGCGGCCCGACGUGGCCUCGCCGCUCGCGCCAGGCGGCCUGGCGGCGCGUUGUGCCCCAACGGGAGGCGCGGCGGCCCGGCGGCCCGGCGGGAGCUCGACGAUGCGGCUCCUCCUCCUCUGUUCUCCUGCUGCGCGGCGGCCUGGCGGGUAGCGCAGCCGCGGGACGGUGCGUGGGCGCACGCCGUGCAUCGGAGCUGCGGUCGGCGGCCGCCGGCCGCCGUGCGCAGGUGCCGCACCCGCACCAGGCGGCCCCGUUUCGCGCGCCGCCCCAUAGUCCCGUUUGCGGCUGCGGGCGGCGGACUGCGCGCAGGAGGCCGCCGACCGAUGGCCAGCGACCCGCGGUCGUCGGCUGCGAUUACGGCUGCCGAGGCGCCUGUGACCCGGACGCGCGAGGAGAGGGCCCGCAGCACGCGGCUGCGGCUGCGGCUGCGAGUGCGGCUCCUGCAAUCCGAAGGAUAUUUCUCCAAGAAAUGUCUUAACGGAAUAGCCUUAUAUACGAAAAUGAAAAGUGAAAAUGAUGUUAUGAGUUAACAGAAUAGCCUUACAUACGAAGAUCUCAAAAAAAUAUUUCGGUUAUAGUAAAAGCUGGAGUAUUUAUACCUUCAUUAUUCUGGUUAUAGUAAAAGCUGGAGUAUUUAUACCUCCUACCUUUGGUACAUAGUUCUGACAUUACAUUACGUAGUUUCCGUUUCUAAGUCAUUUCUGACGUUAAUGUGUAUAAAUUGUUUUCUAAGUCAUUUCUGACGUUAAUGUGUAUAAAUUGUUCACUGCAGGGUGAUCACGUUACACAUAUGACACCGAAGGUUGUGCGGAACCUUGGACCCUUCGUCUAGGAUCUUUGCGCUGUCGAAGGUUGCGCAACUGAUUUCUUUGUCAUCCAAAAGUCAGCUUUUACCCUCGAAGCUAGCCAAAGCUUCGCGGUUGGUCCGCCUUUGCUCGAAGGUCGCGAUGCAACCUUCGCGCGUUCAGCCAGGCGCGAACCUUCGACCAUCAUUGAAGGGGCCAAUCCUGCGAGAUAAAUUAGCAAAAAACCAUGCAAUGACUUUUCGAUUGCCGGAAGGUUCCUUGAGACCUUCGGUGGAUCCUUCGGCGAGAUCUUCUUGGGGUGGUGAUCCCCAACAGUAGCCCCUCGCGGGCGAGGUCCGACUUCAAUGGUCCGAACCCUCGAACAAGGAUUGCCAGCCAUCCUCGAAGAAAAACGUCUCCCUGAUCGUCACAGGAUGGCUCAUAUCAAGGAGACUGCGAAGCCCAUCGAAGUUGAAGAGGCCAGCACGGAAGUUGAAAAUAUUGCUCAGCACUCGAGGGGAGAAGAGGAUUUAUCUCAAGUGAACGCGGAUCCUUCUGAGCUGAUGGGUCGAGAAAAACCAAAGCAGACCCUUCGAUUUGGCACAUCGCUAGUAUCUCAGAACCUUAUCAAGUUCUAUAUUGACAAAGGUUAUUUCAAGGUGGGGGAAUACCGUCCUUCGGAGGGUGAAGACAUCCCGGUUCCGCGCGAAGGUGAAACCAUGGUGUUUUGAGAUUUUUUCACAGCUGGCCUCCGAUUUCCACUUGACCUUGUGCUGCCGGAUAUUUUGUCGAGAUUCAAUGUCAUGAUGCAUCAUUUGAUGCCAAACGCCAUAAUCCAGUUGUCCAAAUUUUUCUAGGCUGUGAAGACUUUCGGUGCUCUGGUAUCACCGGACACCUUUUGCAGAUUCUAUGAGCUUCAUCCUCAAGGAUGGAAAAUUUCAUUCGAGGGAGAAGAUGAAGUUUUCUAUGCACAAAGUGGUUGUUGCACCUUCGUUCCACAAAGGAACAAUAAGGUUUUGAAGUUGGAUCAUGUUGAGAUUUCUUUCAGUCAGAAAAACAAGUGGGACGAUGACUGGACCGGAUACUGGUUGUAUGCCAAAAUUGGCUUCGUGAAUUCUUCUCAAGAGGAGAUCUUUUCGCUCGCAUUGAAGGUUCUUCCUUUUCAGCAUAUCAAUCAGGCUGAUUUGGACAGAUCAUCUAAGGAUUUAAAGGACUGCUGCACUGCGUUCAGAGAGGUGGCAAAGGCAAUCGGUAGUCGUGACCUUGUGGAGGAGUACCUGGCAGCUAAGAUUUGGCUGUUGACCCCCCAGCUGGGCAGCCAAAUCUUUUUCGAAGGUUAUGGUGGGCAACAUAUCUAGUUCUAUUCCUUGUCCAGUGUUUGGACUUAAGAGGCCAUCUGAUUCGAGUGAUGAGAUGAUCGUGUCGAACGUUGAGCUUGAGGCUAAUGCCCUUCUUGGUGCGUAUAACUGGAAAGAGCAUAAGGGUUUUUUGGAAUGUUGUUCCCAUGGUAGCCAUAUUAACUGGAGCUUCCAUGAAAUGGUAAUAAAGUAUGAGUCUCGAGAAGCAUCUUCGGAGCCGCAGAAGAGGGGGAGGGCGUCCGGUAACAUCGGCUCCACAGAGCCUGUUGCUAAGAAAGGGAGAAAGGAUGUGACAUCUGUGCCUAGAGGCUCGUCCUUCUUGGCUGCUUUGGCUAGACCUCCGAGGAAUCCUUCGGUCAAGUUGUCAACCAAGCAAGCGGAGAUUCAGAAGAAGAAAGAUGCUGAAGCAAAUCUGCACAAGGCAUUAGAUGCACCGCUUCGUAUGGUAAGUCUGGUGGACGACAACAGUGACGAGGAUGUUGCGGAGGUCCCCCCGAAGGUUGACACUGAUUUGACUAAAACCUCGAAGGAGGCGCGCCCGGGAGUUGCGUUAGAAACGGUGAUGGAAUGUGUGCCCAAGGAAGAUGAGGAUCGCGGUGCUAUGGUUGAGGACAUGCAACUUUCGGGGAAACACAUUACUCAGGACUUUAUGGAGCUAGCUUGGAGGGUUGAUUAGCGGAGGUCUUUCCAAGGGCAUAUCGUGUGCUCCAGCCGAGAUGUCCACUCGAGCUGGAGGCCUUCCUGAGGAGCUUGAAUCCUUCGACGUCGAAGGUUGGAGCCCACAUUUUUUUUCUUAGAAAACUUGGGUUUUUUGCAGAUUUCAAGAAGAGCUUAGAGCUUAGGCGUAUAUGGGAUGGAGUAUCUUGGGCGCAUCACCGCUUCUUUGUGCUUAAAGGCUUUGAUAGCGAGACGUACAGCGACUCAGAGCGCUAAAAAAGAUAACAAGGCUCGAUCAGAGAGGUCGGCCAAGAGCCUUCGCUUGGUUAUGGAGAAUCAGAGGCUGAAAGAUCAAAAUAAGAUUCUGGAGGACCUUUGGGUUUUGCAUAAUGAUCAGAUUGCCGGUCUGACACAGAAGAAGGCUGAUGAUUAAGAAAAGCUUAUUCAAAAGAUGCAAAAAAACUAUUGAUCAGAAUGAUGAAACUUUGGAAAACCUUCGUGCUGUUGUGGAGGAAGAUGACGUUACGAUCAAUGAUCUAGAGGCUGAAAAUAAGCAACUUAAGGCCGAAGGUGCCAAGAAAGGUAACUUGAUUGAGAUGUUGGUGAAGGAGGCAGAGGGUAACCAAAAUCUGAUGAAUGAGGCUAUCUGAGAGAUUGUCGAGAAGAGCGAUCAGAUUUAUCUUGAGCAUAGAAAAGCUCUAGCAACCUUCGAGGCCGAAACUGCGCCUCUUCCUCAGGAUCCUGAGGGUGGUGUGACUGGCUUGUUAAAUUAGAUAUUGAAUGAAUUCACCUCACUGGUGGAUAUACUGACCAUGACUUUGGACAAUUCUGUCGUUAUCUCGAGUGAGAGUGUUCUAGUAAUUCUGGACCGCGAAAGUUGCCGGGAUUUACAAAAAAUAAGUGCUGGGGAUUAUGUUUUCCCGUCUUACUCUGACCUUAGUCAGAAUAUUUCUAACAUUCAAGCUGUGAAGAAAGCUUUCAUCCGAAGGUAUUGGAAGGUUGCUGGCCGAGAGGUUGUGCGUAAUGUUGCUCAGAGUCGGUUGGAAGCGAUAAAGAGAGCUCAGAGAGCUUAGGAAGAUAGAAAGUUGACGGCGACGGCUUGGGAUGUUGCUGAAAGUUCUGGAGCCAACAAGACUGUUGGUGGUGAUGAUGAGAACGUGAAGGUGUAGAACGGAGCUUUGAUUGAAGAACUUUUGUGGCUUGUAGUUUUGAUGAAUCUCUAAUGUAAAUAUUCCUAACUUUUGGUCAGGCGCUCGUUGUUGCGAGGCCCGUACUUGACGUACCUACGAUGAACAUUGGUUGUGAUGGGGUCAUCGUGGCCGGAUCUGCUUGGGAGAGAGAUAUAGUUUUGCUCAUCCUGAAGUGAUUUUUUGUAUGCGUGUGUGGCUAAAUCGCCUUGUGAAGACUGAUGGUCCGGGGACUCUUUUAGGUGGCGGAUGAUAUGUGUAUAUUUGUAAUUGCUUUUUAGUGUCUGAUCUGCGCGCGAGUGAAAGAUGGGGGCACACACGUGAACAUGAAGUAGAAGAGGGCCAGAAAAAUUAGGAGGAAAAUGACAACCGUGCGCCAUGGCCCGGCGGGAGGCGCGGCGGCUUGGCGCGGCUGCCCGGCGGGCAGCUCGACGCUGCGGCUCCUCCAACUCCGUUCUCCUGCUCCGCGGCUGUCCGGCGGGUAGUGCAGCUGCCAGACGGCGCGUGGGCGCGGGCCGCCUUGAGGCCCCCAGGACGACGCCGCGCAGUACCUCGCCGCGGUCGACGUCGCCGUCGAGCACCUCGCGCGCGGGCGUUGCCGUGCAGCUCGCCGUGGCACGGCCCGAGGAGGAGCUCCGCCAUCUCAUGGCUGUUGUGCAGGCUCUAAUUGGCUGAAGAGAAUUUUAGAUGCGAAAGAGAAGCCCCAGCUCAGACUUACACAGCAAAGGUAAUAUAGUUGGUUUUACAUUAGAAAACAUCAGUGCUAUCUAUAGCAAGAGGUUUAGCUUGGCCAAAUUAUGAAAGGGACGAGGUGAGUUCAUGCUACCUGAAGCUGAAUGUCAAUAUAGGAUCCUUAACCCUUAUAA